CGAUUGUGCCAGCAGCCGCGGUAAUACGGAGGGUGCAAGCGUUAAUCGGAAUUACUGGGCGUAAAGCGCACGCAGGCGGUUGGAUAAGUUAGAUGUGAAAGCCCCGGGCUCAACCUGGGAAUUGCAUUUAAAACUGUUCAGCUAGAGUCUUGUAGAGGGGGGUAGAAUUCCAGGUGUAGCGGUGAAAUGCGUAGAGAUCUGGAGGAAUACCGGUGGCGAAGGCAGCCAUCUGGCCUAAUACUGACACUGAGGUGCGAAAGCAUGGGGAGCAAACAGGAUUAGAUACCCUGGUAGUCCAUGCCGUAAACGAUGUCUACUAGCCGUUGGGGCCUUUGAGGCUUUAGUGGCGCAGCUAACGCGAUAAGUAGACCGCCUGGGGAGUACGGUCGCAAGAC
rnacentral:rRNA from 1 species